rnacentral:rRNA from 1 species
AUUGAACGCUGGCGGCAGGCCUAACACAUGCAAGUCGAACGAGUGGCGGACGGGUGACUAAUGUCUGGGAAACUGCCUGAUGGAGGGGGAUAACUCCUGGAAACGGUAGCUAAUACCGCAUACCAUCGGAUGUGCCCAGAUGGGAUUGGCUAGUAGGUGGGGUAAAGGCUCACCUAGGCGACGAUCCCUAGCUGGUCUGAGAGGAUGACCGGCCACACUGGAACUGAGACACGGUCCAGACUCCGACGGGAGGCAGCAGUGGGGAAUAUUGCGCAAUGGGCGCAAGCCGGAGGCAGCCAUGCCGCGUGUGUGAAGAAGGCCUUCGGGUCGUAAAGUACUGUCAGCGGGGAAGCGUUACCCGCAGAGAAAGCACCGGCUAACUCCGUGCCAGCCGCCGCGGUAAUAC